rnacentral:lncRNA from 1 species
CCCUGAUGGGGACCAUCUUUGAAUCAACAUCUUGCAUGUCAUCAUUCAUAAUCAUGAAAAUGCCUAGUCAAUAGUGGUCUUCACAGAUUACCAAGAUGGGAAGGAAGGGUAAGGUCUGAUAUAAAGAGAUUCAGUUCAGGAAUGUACUCCAGAAUUAAUUUUUUAAUUUAAUUAAUUUUUUAAUUUAGAUAUUGAUUUCUUAAUGGUUGUUUGAAGUUUUAAGUAAAUCUCAAGUCUUUCUUUCAUAUCCAGAUGUCUAUCCUUGCCUUAUCAAAGAGCAGUUAUUUGAAUAAGGGAAAUGAAGGGUGAAUGAGGAUAAAAAUAAAUUAGGACUGCUGUCAUAAGUGCUAUAGAACAUUUAUUUUGUGCAAUUAAGUGCUAUAGAAAAUUUAAAUUAUUUUAUAAUUUGUAGAACAACUAAAAAAAUCAAAAGGCAUUAAAAGAAAAAAGCUCAUUAAUACCAAUUAAGUGGCCUUAAAAGAUAUAUUUUCAGGUAGUAACAAAUUUGAUUGCAAGUCAUUUUCCUCUGUGAGUAUUCUCAAGUUAUGACAUUAAAAAUGAGAAAAAAGGUAUUUCCAGUACAUCAUUCAUAAAAGUAGAUGGAGUAGGUAAACAAGUUAGUCUUUUUGAUCAUUAUUUUGCCUUCAUAAGCUCUUGAGCCCUCUUAUUCUAAAAGAAAAGCCAAUGUCAAAACAUCAACGUAACCAAUAUUACUCUGGCUUGAAAAUUAAGUUAGCUUUAAUGAGAUUUUAAUUUUAUACCUUAUUUAAUACAGGACAUAUCUUCUUCCAAUCUUACAGGAAGGUACAAUAUUUGUACCUGGAAUUAUAGAGUAGUAUUCUUAAAAUAAUUCUCAAACAUACAUUUAUUAAUACAUAUCAUCUUUAUUAAUAUAUGCUUCAUUUUGGAUUUAUGACUCAUACCUAAUGUCACCACACGACUAUAGACUUAGUAACCAGGAAUAUACUAAAAUUUAGUGCUGUUAUUUCUUAAAUGUUGGAGAUGCUUAGGACAGAAUUGGUGUAACCUAUUGUUGCCUUCAGUGUUUUCUUUAAUAUUUUGAGAAUAGAUGAAGCAAAUGCAGAAUAUCAAUAAUUUUUUCUUAUUAAAUAUUUUCCAUAAAUUGUGUUACAAUCCUACUCAUUUGCAGUAAAGAUCUUUCUUGCACAAAACAAAAUAGUGUUUUAGUGUAUUUGGAUUAAGAUCAGUUAGGGAAGGCUGAAAUCAGAGACUUUAAGGGAGAAAGAACAUAGAAUUAAUUUUGUAGAAAAGCUGUAAUUACUUACUAAAACAUGAUUAAAUAAGAGCUACCCAACUACUUGUAUUUGAUUAUAUUCAAUGAUAAAUAGAGCCUGUCUUAAUGUCAAGGAUAAGGAAAGAAAAUUACAUGGAGCAGUGAUUUUCAGACUUUGAAUUUCAUAAAUCAUUACACAAACACAAACAAUGGAAAGGGAACACAGAUUUAUUUUUUCCAAGUUAAAUGAAAUAAGACCUGUUAUUUCAUAAAUAACUUUUGUUUUACAUUUUGAAGAUACAUUUUAUUUCAUUUUUUUCCUGUGUCCACAAUUAAAAGUGAUAAGUCAACUAACAUUCUCAGUGUUGAUUCUUUAUAGAAAAAUUUUUUCAUUGUAUGGUCUUUAUAUGGUCUUUCCAGUUUCUGCAGUUUGAUUUUGUGUUUAUGUGCUUCUUACUUUUUUUUUUUUACCGGUUCUUCUUAGUUAUACAUGACAGUAAGUGAAAUAAGCCAAUCUCUAAACAAAGGUUGAAUGUUUUUGCUGAUAUGUGGAAGCUAAACCACAAUAAAGUGGGGAGGGAGAGAAAGAAGUUCAGUAGAUUAGAUAAAAGGGAAUGAAAGGAAAGGAAGGGGUAUAGGAAUAGGAAAGACAAUGAAUAAAUCUAAUAUAAUUUUCCUGUGUACACAUAUG